CAACAGUCUUUCAUGAAUGAGGCAGUAAGAAUGAAAAGACCUUUUAUAACUUCAUUUUGAACUCUGCCUGCAAACCAGAGGUCAGCAGGCCCUUCGAUCCCAGGGGCUGCACAGUGCCUGGAGGUGCUGGUGGUGCUGGUGGUUGGUGCUGUGGAACUUGAUGGGGGAGGGUCGAGGGAGAUAGAAGACAAAAGGAAGAGGAGGCAAAAGACAUAAAGAACUGGACUGGAAGAAAUGAAGAAGGAGAUAAACAAAAGAGAAGGACAGGGAGAACUGAUAACUAUGAUACCAGAGCCGACCUCUGAACUCAAUCUGCACUUGCCUAUUGAUGCAUAAAUAUCUAUAAUAUCACAUUUGUGGUCAUUGUGGUUUUAAGUGCAAUAAAAUCC
ensembl:lncRNA